GGUUAAGCGACUAAGCGUACACGGUGGAUGCCCUGGCAGUCAGAGGCGAUGAAGGACGUGCUAAUCUGCGAAAAGCGUCGGUAAGGUGAUAUGAACCGUUAUAACCGGCGAUGUCCGAAUGGGGAAACCCAGUGCAAUUCGUUGCACUAUCGUUAACUGAAUACAUAGGUUAACGAGGCGAACCGGGGGAACUGAAACAUCUAAGUACCCCGAGGAAAAGAAAUCAACCGAGAUUCCCCCAGUAGCGGCGAGCGAACGGGGAGCAGCCCAGAGUCUGAAUCAGCUUGUGUGUUAGUGGAACGGUCUGGAAAGUCCGACGGUACAGGGUGAUAGUCCCGUACACCAAAAUGCACAGGCUGUGAACUCGAAGAGUAGGGCGGGACACGUGGUAUCCUGUCUGAAUAUGGGGGGACCAUCCUCCAAGGCUAAAUACUCCUGACUGACCGAUAGUGAACCAGUACCGUGAGGGAAAGGCGAAAAGAACCCCGGCGAGGGGAGUGAAAAAGAACCUGAAACCGUGUACGUACAAGCAGUGGGAGCACCUUCGGGUGUGACUGCGUACCUUUUGUAUAAUGGGUCAGCGACUUAUAUUCUGUAGCAAGGUUAACCGUAUAGGGGAGCCGCAGGGAAACCGAGUCUUAACUGGGCGUUAAGUUGCAGGGUAUAGACCCGAAACCCGGUGAUCUAGCCAUGGGCAGGUUGAAGGUUGGGUAACACUAACUGGAGGACCGAACCGACUAAUGUUGAAAAAUUAGCGGAUGACUUGUGGCUGGGGGUGAAAGGCCAAUCAAACCGGGAGAUAGCUGGUUCUCCCCGAAAGCUAUUUAGGUAGCGCCUCGUGAAUUCAUCUUCGGGGGUAGAGCACUGUUUCGGCUAGGGGGUCAUCCCGACUUACCAACCCGAUGCAAACUACGAAUACCGAAGAAUGUUAUCACGGGAGACACACGGCGGGUGCUAACGUCCGUCGUGAAGAGGGAAACAACCCAGACCGCCAGCUAAGGUCCCAAAGUCAUGGUUAAGUGGGAAACGAUGUGGGAAGGCACAGACAGCCAGGAUGUUGGCUUAGAAGCAGCCAUCAUUUAAAGAAAGCGUAAUAGCUCACUGGUCGAGUCGGCCUGCGCGGAAGAUGUAACGGGGCUAAACCAUGCACCGAAGCUGCGGCAGCGACACUAUGUGUUGUUGGGUAGGGGAGCGUUCUGUAAGCCUGCGAAGGUGUGCUGUGAGGCAUGCUGGAGGUAUCAGAAGUGCGAAUGCUGACAUAAGUAACGAUAAAGCGGGUGAAAAGCCCGCUCGCCGGAAGACCAAGGGUUCCUGUCCAACGUUAAUCGGGGCAGGGUGAGUCGACCCCUAAGGCGAGGCCGAAAGGCGUAGUCGAUGGGAAACAGGUUAAUAUUCCUGUACUUGGUGUUACUGCGAAGGGGGGACGGAGAAGGCUAUGUUAGCCGGGCGACGGUUGUCCCGGUUUAAGCAUGUAGGCUGAUUAUCCAGGCAAAUCCGGAUAAUCAAGGCUGAGGUGUGAUGACGAGGCACUACGGUGCUGAAGUAACAAAUGCCCUGCUUCCAGGAAAAGCCUCUAAGCAUCAGGUAACAUCAAAUCGUACCCCAAACCGACACAGGUGGUCAGGUAGAGAAUACCAAGGCGCUUGAGAGAACUCGGGUGAAGGAACUAGGCAAAAUGGUGCCGUAACUUCGGGAGAAGGCACGCUGGUGUGUAGGUGAAGUCCCUGCGGAUGGAGCUGAGACCAGUCGAAGAUACCAGCUGGCUGCAACUGUUUAUUAAAAACACAGCACUGUGCAAACACGAAAGUGGACGUAUACGGUGUGACGCCUGCCCGGUGCCGGAAGGUUAAUUGAUGGGGUUAUCCGUAAGGAGAAGCUCUUGAUCGAAGCCCCGGUAAACGGCGGCCGUAACUAUAACGGUCCUAAGGUAGCGAAAUUCCUUGUCGGGUAAGUUCCGACCUGCACGAAUGGCGUAAUGAUGGCCAGGCUGUCUCCACCCGAGACUCAGUGAAAUUGAACUCGCUGUGAAGAUGCAGUGUACCCGCGGCAAGACGGAAAGACCCCGUGAACCUUUACUAUAGCUUGACACUGAACAUUGAGCCUUGAUGUGUAGGAUAGGUGGGAGGCUUUGAAGCGUGGACGCCAGUCUGCGUGGAGCCAACCUUGAAAUACCACCCUUUAAUGUUUGAUGUUCUAACGUUGGCCCCUUACCGGGGUUGCGGACAGUGUCUGGUGGGUAGUUUGACUGGGGCGGUCUCCUCCCAAAGCGUAACGGAGGAGCACGAAGGUUAGCUAAUCCUGGUCGGACAUCAGGAGGUUAGUGCAAUGGCAUAAGCUAGCUUGACUGCGAGCGUGACGGCGCGAGCAGGUGCGAAAGCAGGUCAUAGUGAUCCGGUGGUUCUGAAUGGAAGGGCCAUCGCUCAACGG
rnacentral:rRNA from 1 species